rnacentral:rRNA from 1 species
AGAGUUUGAUCCUGGCUCAGAACGAACGCUGGCGGCAGGCUUAACACAUGCAAGUCGAACGCGUGUAGCAAUACACGAGUGGCGCACGGGUGAGUAACGCGUGGAUAUCUGCCUUUUGGUUCGGAAUAACUCCGGGAAACUGGAGCUAAUACCGGAUGGUUCCUACGGGAUAAAGAUUUAUCGCCAAAAGAUGAGUCCGCGUACGAUUAGCUAGUUGGUGAGGUAAUGGCUCACCAAGGCGACGAUCGUUAGCUGGUCUGAGAGGACGAUCAGCCACACUGGGACUGAGACACGGCCCAGACUCCUACGGGAGGCAGCAGUGGGGAAUAUUGGACAAUGGGGGCAACCCUGAUCCAGCCAUGCC